rnacentral:lncRNA from 1 species
GUGAUUCCAAAUCACAAUUAUGAUAGUCUGACUAAUUAAAUCCUCUAUGUGUGUGACCCCGUAGGUUCUAUUUUGACUGGUAGUGAGACAUAUUGAGAUCUCCAUCUCAAUAUCACUGAAACUUCUUUCAGUGGACCGAAACAAUUUCAGUUCUACUCUUAGGGUUCACUGAUCACUAAGUGAAUGCCUUCGAGUCUCACAAUCCACU